UAGAAUAUAGUAUAGGGGGUGUACAUAGAAUUUUGAUUUCUAAUGGGCAGGUUCGAGUCCUGUUAUUCUAA
rnacentral:tRNA from 1 species